GAGGCUGAGAUUUUGUAUUGAUUUUGAGAGAAAUAGAGUUGAAGAGAUGUUUUAUUGAGUAAACAAGCCGGAACUACAAUGAAUUGAGUAUGAACCCUAGUUCUAGACGCCUAGCUCUGAUCUCUAAGUCUCGGAGUGUCCCCCUUCUUUUCUAGGGUUUGGGCUCCCCUUAUUUAGUCGUCUAUGAGUAGGUCUGGGUCAGCCAAUAGGGUUAAACUCUCCCAAAAUGACUUUUCCUUUUUUUUUUUGUUUUUGAAACUCUGGCUUUUGUUGAAUCUCUUUGUUUGAUUAAUGGCUCUUUGUAGCCCCUUUUGAUUUUUGGAAUAAUGGCUCUUUCGUAUUUUUUGUUUUUUUAUGCGCCCUUUCCUGUUGUAUUGCUUUGAGGUGAGACUCGUAGGAUGUGAUCGCUUUGUAUCCUCUUCAUAGGUUAGGUAAUAAGACCCUGGGUGUUGGGAAAAAAUACUCAUGUAUUGAAUUCCUCCAGACCCCGGGCAGGACACCGACCUCCGGUUCCCCGCUAAGAGGAACCCUGGUUCCCCGCUAUGGAGUUCUCCGAGUCCAGUCCCCGAGACCGCCCCCCUUCCCCCGGGAAAAGGAAAACUUCCGAUAAGGAGAACCUUCCAUAUUUUCGAAUAUGGAAGAGUUUAACCUACUCCAAUCGACAAAGGCCCGCCUUAAGAAGACUAUAUUAGGGGAACCUAAACCCUUAAGCAAGGGAUCGACACUUCAAGACGUAGAGAUUAUAGCUAGGUGGCUAGAACUAGGGUUUAUACACCAAUCAUUGUAGUUCCAGCUUGUUUUAUCUAAUAAAACGUCUCUUCAAGUCUAUUUAUCUCAAAUACUCACGAAAUCUAUACAAUAACCAGCCUUGUCCAUCGUUUCGUGGUACUCACAAAGAUACUACACAAAAAUUCCCUAACAGUUUGGUGUUAGAAGGAGGAGAGUAAUCUAAACUACGUGAUAAGGGCGGUGGACGAGCAAGACGAGCUACCCGAGGCCACCCAAAGAGAAGCUGAACUCCAGAGGCAAAUCGAUGGUCUGCAGAGCCAUGUAACCGAGUUACAUAAAACUUGGGAGGAAACCAAUCCCGAGCUCUCCUCGGAGUUCCAAAGAUUGAAGGAAAAACUCAACGAACACUCCAAGCAACUGGAGCAAAGCGCAGAGAAACUUAGCCAGCUCGAAUCGGAGAAUCUUACCCUCCGAGACGAAAAUCAAGCCCUCAACGCGGUGAGUAACAGGAAGCGUCGAUUCCAGACUAAGGUCCGCCCCAUGCCGAUUCUAGAGACACCCAACUCCGGGACGGACGCGAAUCUCCCAACUGCGGCGCUGGGAGGAGACGCAUCAACGCGCGAAAAGGCUAAGGACGCUCAGAUCUACGACGUGGAGGAAAGCGAAUCGGAGCCCGAACCCGAUAAAGAAGCACCUGACGGAGCAGCGAGAGCGGAGUCUCCUAUGAUCACUCACCUUCACCAGAUGUUCUCCGAGAGGCUCAACGCCAUGCAGUCCAUGGUAGAGAGGCUCUCAGGGGUAGCUCCCCCCAUCUGGAAGAGCAACCCCUACUCCUACGCCGACACUCCCUUCACAGAUGAGAUCACAAUGAUCGAGAUGCCCAGGAAGUUCUCCUUCCCCAGCAUAAAGGCGUAUGACGGCACCACUGAUCUGGACGACCACGUCGCCCAAUACAGACUAAGGAUGCUCGCCGUAGCAAUCCCAAAGGGGUCGCGCGAAGCUACCAUGUGCAAAGGGUUUGGCUCCACCCUGACCGGACCCGCUCUGCAAUGGUAUAUCAACCUACCCUCCAGGUCCAUAGCUUCCUUCGCGGUUCUCAGCGACAAAUUCGGGGAGCAAUUCACCAGCAGCAGGGACCUGGAAAAGACCUCCGACAGCCUCUACGAAAUCCUCAACCACCGAGCGGAACCCCUGCGAGGCUACAUAGCCAGCUUCAAUCAAGAGAAGGUGGCUAUCGCCGAAUGCAGUAUCCCCACUGCUAUCUCUGCCUUCAAGAGAGGCCAGCUCCCCGACGGGGACCUCCAUAAGGAGCUAACCAAAUACCAAUGCAAAACCAUGGAAGACGUCCUAUCUCGAGCCUGGGCGCAUGUAAAAUGGGAGGAAGAUGUCGCCAGCCGCGCCAAGGAGCAGCGGAAGCAAGAUCCCAAGACGAUCAGACCAGACCGAACCGAGCGAGAUGAGAAACCCUCUCAAAGACCUGCCAGGGACUCCGGAAAUCAAAACCGGGGUAGAUAUCAGAAUCGGUCGAUCGAGAAGGCAGAAGGGAUGGCAGUGUCCACGUGGCCAGACAUCUCUCACCUCUCUGUCUCCAGGCCGGAGCUGAUCAAUGUUCUGAGGCAGAUGGGCCAACAGGUCAAGUGCCCUCAGAAGAUGAAUGCACCCGACUCUUUCCGGAACCCUGGUUUCUGGUGUGACUUCCACCGAGACCACGGUCACAAAAUGGAGGACUGCAUCGCACUAAAGAUCGAGGUCAACGAGCUGCUUAAGAAAGGACACCUCAGGGAGUUCCUUUCCGAGAAGGCCAAGAGCCAUCUAAGCAAGGAGACAAUGGGUAAGCCCACUGAAGCUGCUCCCAUCUCGCCACCGCGAUAAGACUGAGUGAUCCAUGUCAUAUCGGGCGGUUCGGAAAUCAGCGGCAUAAGCCAUGCGUCUGCGAAGAAAAGCAUUGGAACGCUAAGCACGGCCCAGAGGCAGCCAAGCCAAAAUGCAUGCUCCUAGGCACGGAUGAAAUAAGCUUCACGGCCAAGGAGCAGGAAAAAGUUCUCACCCCGCAUCACAACGCCCUGGUCAUAUCGCUCACUGUAGCGAACUGCCUGGUAAAGAGGACACUGGUAGAUGAUAAUGGAAGCUCCGACAACAUCAUCUUCCAAGCCGUAUACAACGACCUGGGGUUGGGGGAAAACGCUCUAACUCGGAGGAUAACCCCACAUAUAAGGUUCAGCGGGGAAGUCAAACAAACCGCCGGGGAAGUAACCCUCCCCGUAUACGCUGAAGGAGUCAACAUGUCAACCAAGUUCCUCGUUGUUGACUGCGACUCGUCUUACAACAUGAUCCUCGGACGGCCCUGGAUUCACGGCAUGGGAGCCGUCUCUUCAACUCUUCACCAAAUGGUGAAAUUCCCUACACCCUGGGGCAUAAAGGCGAUCAGAGGGAAUCAGGAGUAUUCCCGCUCCUGCUACCAGACUACUUUCAAUGUCGUAUCGACGUUUCAGAAGAGCUCGGUCGCUACGUAGCGACCGAGCGGGAUGGUCACUCGGGAGAUCUGACAAACUUGCGCCGGCGGCAUUGCUCAUCUCGACAUCACAACUCUUCUGAAAGUUGCUGGAAGAAGACAUUGUGGUGGAGAGAAAUUUUUAAGAGAAAAUGCAAAGAGAACUUGGAAAGUUGAGAGAAUGUGGAGAGAAUGAAGGGAAGCUCUAUACUUAUAGAAGAAACAAAAGUUAAACGGAUUUUCCGCAUUAAAAUAAUUGGAAAAAAAAUUCGCGAAAAAUCAAUUUUAACCGCGGAUUCCGAUUAACACCAUCACUCGCCCGGAAGAAUCGUGCUCGAAGCUUGCGAGUUGGGGGGCUAACUGUUGGGGUCAAAAAUGGUUUUCUCAAAAUCAACGUCUAAAAAUUUCGUUUCUGUACGAAAGCUUUCUCGACACACUCUCGACAAAAUUUUCCGAGCAAAAGACUCGAGAGUUGGACUAGUCGAACUCGCUGAACGGGUGAUUUGGACCGAGUACACCGUCUGUUAGGGGAUUUUUGUGUAGUAUCUUUGUGAGUACCACAGAACGAUGGAUGAGGCUGAGAUUUUGUAUUGAUUUUGAGAGAAAUAGAGUUGAAGAGAUGUUUUAUUGAGUAAACAAGCCGGAACUACAAUGAAUUGAGUAUGAACCCUAGUUCUAGACGCCUAGCUCUGAUCUCUAAGUCUCGGAGUGUCCCCCUUCUUUUCUAGGGUUUGGGCUCCCCUUAUUUAGUCGUCUAUGAGUAGGUCUGGGUCAGCCAAUAGGGUUAAACUCUCCCAGGAGAGGACCGGGACCUGGCGCUACCUUCUCAAACGUGGUGAGCUCUCGGUGUCAGACAUCUAUGAUGAGCAUACCCCUCUGCCAAGAUGGCAAGGGCUGCUUCAUCGGUUAAUGAUUUAUCUUCCACCUCUUCCACGGGUGCUUAAGCCGUAUCUAACCAUGAUCCACUGGUGGAUUCUCACCGGAGGUUGAUUAGCGAGUUGUUCUUUCUCCGUAGCCAGGUGCAGGAUAUGAUGGCUCGCCGGGAUCUGUUGGUUCAGCAGGUGAGGGCAUCGG
rnacentral:lncRNA from 1 species